GACAGAGGGUGCAAACGUUGUUCGGAAUUACUGGGCAUAAAGGGCACGUAGGUGGUUCGCUAAGUUACGUGUGAAAUCCCCCGGCUCAACCGGGGAAUUGCGCGUGAUACUGGCGGACUCGAGACGGGUAGGGGUGAGCGGAACUCCAGGUGGAGCGGUGAAAUGCGUAGAUAUCUGGAGGAACGCCGGUGGCGAAAGCGACUCUCUGGGCCGCUCCUGACACUAAAGCGCGAGAGCUAGGGGAGCAAACAGG
rnacentral:rRNA from 1 species